CCCUGUGGGCUUCUAGCUCCGUUAUUCUUGUCCGUUACUUCCAUUUCCUCACCUCUCCCGCUUUGAGCAAAACGGUGCGGCGUUGUGUGAAGCCUGUGCUUUGUUCCGAGAGUCUAGGGGGAUCUUUAGCUCCUGUCUGCCAGUCCUCGAAGUUCCCAAGGUCGCUUUCGUUCCCUGGCGGGCUUCUUCGGAUUUAGAUAAUGUCCAGUUGGGACUGUUACAAAUAGUGCUGUGAUGUACAUUCUUCUACAUGAUUUUUGUGAAGACAAGAGCAAACUUCUCUUGGGACUAUAUCUAGGAGUGAAACCGUUCGGUUAUAGGCCCCUGGCAGCCACCAUUCUACUUUCUGUCUCUCUGAUGUUGACUUCAAGUACCUCAUAUUGGUCAGAUUCCUCAGAGAUGCACCCUCUAGGUUCCAGCCUGGAGGACAAUGGCCAGUGUUCUGAGAUUCCAG